CCAGCUCUGCUCUGUUUACUGGGGAUGAGUUAUAACUGAAUACAUGUACACAGGGAGUGUGUGCUUGUGUGCGCGUGGCUGAAUGACCACCUCCCCUGUGAUGUACAAUGUAAGAGUCUGGGAACAAUCUGUAUUAUAAUUCAUCAGGCUCAGCCCCUGAGCGGAGUGGUGUGGCUUAAUUAUAAAGGCGACUGUGAAUUCAGCAGCUGACAGGGGGAAUCUUGAAAAGCUGGUGACUGGGACUGUCGGCUUUUGUUCCAGAAAACCCUGCCUUUUCGGAAUACGCUCGAUUUGAGGCCAAAAUCCAUGACCUGCGGGAACAGAUGAUGAACCACAGCAUGAGUUCUGGGUCGGGCUCCCUGCGAACCAAUCAGAAGCGUUCCCUUUAUGUCAGAGCCAUGUUUGACUACGAUAAAAGCAAGGACAGCGGCCUACCAAGCCAAGGGCUUAGCUUCAAGUAUGGUGACAUCCUCCACGUCAUCAAUGCAUCAGAUGAUGAAUGGUGGCAGGCGAGAAGAGUUACGCAAGAGGGGGACAGCGAGGAAAUGGGAGUUAUACCCAGCAAA